GAUGAACGCUGGCGGCGUGCCUAAUACAUGCAAGUCGAGCGAACAGAUGAGGAGCUUGCUCCUCUGACGUUAGCGGCGGACGGGUGAGUAACACGUGGAUAACCUACCUAUAAGACUGGGAUAACUUCGGGAAACCGGAGCUAAUACCGGAUAAUAUAUUGAACCGCAUGGUUCAAUAGUGAAAGACGGUUUUGCUGUCACUUAUAGAUGGAUCCGCGCCGCAUUAGCUAGUUGGUAAGGUAACGGCUUACCAAGGCAACGAUGCGUAGCCGACCUGAGAGGGUGAUCGGCCACACUGGAACUGAGACACGGUCCAGACUCCUACGGGAGGCAGCAGUAGGGAAUCUUCCGCAAUGGGCAAAAGCCUGACGGAGCAACGCCGCGUGAGUGAUGAAGGUCUUCGGAUCGUAAAACUCUGUUAUUAGGGAAGAACAAAUGUGUAAGUAACUAUGCACGUCUUGACGGUACCUAAUCAGAAAGCCACGGCUAACUACGU
rnacentral:rRNA from 1 species